CAAGUUAAUCUUAUUAGGUAAGAUCUUCAUUUACAUUGGAGAAUGUAAUUGUGCAAGUCAAUUUAACUUGA
rnacentral:tRNA from 1 species